rnacentral:lncRNA from 1 species
GCCGUGGCCUAGUGCAUAGGGCGUCCGCCUCGGCAACGGUAGGUAGGCGGUUCGAAUCCUGCCGCCGGACACCCACCGGUUAAGAGGGCAAGGCGUCCCCCCUACCCGGCGCCCGGUUGUUUACGGGGUGAGUGAACGCCUGGGGAGCGGUCCGUGGCCGACGCGU